rnacentral:rRNA from 1 species
UACGAAGGGGGGCUAGCGUUGCUCGGAAUCACUGGGCGUAAAGGGUGCGUAGGCGGGUCUUUAAGUCAGGGGUGAAAUCCUGGAGCUCAACUCCAGAACUGCCUUUGAUACUGAGGAUCUUGAGUUCGGGAGAGGUGAGUGGAACUGCGAGUGUAGAGGUGAAAUUCGUAGAUAUUCGCAAGAACACCAGUGGCGAAGGCGGCUCACUGGCCCGAUACUGACGCUGAGGCACGAAAGCGUGGGGAGCGAACAGG